UGAAAAGGUUACAGGCAGCCUAUAGG
rnacentral:piRNA from 1 species